CCCAGGAGUUUGAGGCUGCAUACCAGACAACAGCCUAACCCCAACUAAGGUAAACUCUGCCACCAAACAUGCCUGGGAAUGGAGAAGGGUCUGCAGAUGAGAACCCCUUCUGGUUCUAUGAUUCAAAUCUUCAUUCACUCAAAGCAGGUAAAUAGGAAAUUUCAACAGCUUCCUCUCCUCCCUCUCAUUCCUUUCUUCUGUCAUCGAUCUGAUCAGGAAUGCUCUGAGGCAUUCCCUGGUUAUUUUUUCUUUACCUCUCAAAAUCCACAUGGUAUGUUACACUAAUGCCCAGCAUGUUCCUCAGAUCUCUAGAUGGCUCUAAUUAAAGGACCACCCCUUCUUCUGAAUACAGACCUGGGGUUAGAGGACAUAAGAGCUUGAAGGGCUCUUUAAAAGUCAAGUAGUAUCAUUUUACAGACCAACAACCUAAAAAACAGAAAAGUAAAAUGACUUGUCCAAGGUCACAUGGCUUAAUGGAUUUGUGGGCAUUCAUGAACACCCUGUAAUUACACAUAAAAUUUGGAUUAUAUGAGCCCAUGUGUAUUUUUUCUGAAGAGAAAAUCCGUAUCUUUCUUCAAAGAAGUCAACAAUCUCUUCCCCAAAAUAUAGUAACCACUGACAAUUAUAUGCAUAUUUGAAAAAAAGUUUAACUAAAAUUUAAUGUUCCAAGUCUGAAUAGUAAUAUGAAUUGGUGAUCUAGAAUAAGAGUGGAACCUAAUUUAAUAACUGUCAUUGUUAUCAUCUUUUUUUCUUUUCAUGUCUGGGAUAUCAAUGCAAGUAACAUGGGAUAAAGACAAUUUGAUGUGGAAGUAAACUAUAAAGCAAGAUUUUUGUUUUGUUUUGUUUU
rnacentral:lncRNA from 1 species